rnacentral:rRNA from 1 species
GACGAACGCUGGCGGCGUGCUUAACACAUGCAAGUCGAACGAUGAACCGGGUGCUUGCACUCGGGGAUUAGUGGCGAACGGGUGAGUAACACGUGAGCAACCUGCCCCUGACUCUGGGAUAAGCGCUGGAAACGGCGUCUAAUACUGGAUAUGUCCCGUCACCGCAUGGUGUGCGGGUGGAAAGAUUUUUCGGUUGGGGAUGGGCUCGCGGCCUAUCGGCUUGUUGGUGAGGUAAUGGCUCACCAAGGCGUCGACGGGUAGCCGGCCUGAGAGGGUGACCGGCCACACUGGGACUGGGACACGGCGCAGACUCCUACGGGAGGCAGCAGUGGGGAAUAUUGCACAAUGGGCGGAAGCCUGAUGCAGCAACGCCGCGUGAGGGAUGACGGCCUUCGGGUUGUAAACCUCUUUUAGCAGGGAAGAAGCGAGAGUGACGGUACCUGCAGAAAAAGCACCGGCUAACUACGUGCCAGCCGCCGCCGUAA